rnacentral:lncRNA from 1 species
AGACCAAAAUGCUGUUUAUGCCAUCCACAAGAGCAAGGUGGGAGCAUUGUUCCAGCUUUUUCCAAAGAAACACAGUCUGCGGCCUCUACUUUUAAACCAAGUACAGCUAGCGUGGCUAUGUGGUUACAAACAUGUAAAUUAUCAUAGAUCACAUACAGCUGAUAUUGUCCCCAUGGAUGUUAUCUUACAAGCAGUGAUAGGGAUCAUUUAAGUACAGCAAAUGGUUAGAAAGGAUAAAUGCAGGGAGUUAGUUUAUUCACUUCAGGGCAGCAGUGAAUUCACCCCUUCCUGACUGCUGAGCCAAACACAACAAAUGGCGCAUUUCUCUCUUUCUCCAUUAUUUUUGGCCACGCUAGAGUUGCAGGUAAUAACAGCUUGUGUUUUCUCCUCACACAUCUCUCCACUGCUGAAAUGCAGGCAGGCAGGCUUCUCUGAAGCUGGCUGCAGGAGGGGAAAGUGUGGCAUCAGCACAUCUUUCUCUUCUUGCUCUCCCCAGAAGAGCAGAUCUCUCUCCAAGUGGUCUCGGGGUCUGCAUUGAAGACAAGGGCAUUGAGAACAGAUCUUUCUCACCACACACCCUGCAUCUCUGAAGCAGGUUUUCAUGCUGAUUCAGUAUGUCCCAAGCCAGGGAAAGCAAAUUAAUUCAGAGUUUAUUUUCUAAUUCAGUCCCAGAUCUAUAAAGAUGGCAUAAGACCCAGAAGCACCUCCUAGGUGAGCUAAAUGACAUUUGUGAAUGCUGUGCAGCUCUUUGAUUUGAACUUCUUAAAUGUAACUUGUUUAACCAUCUCCUGUUUUCCCAGAAAAUGCCUGGUGUUCAAACAGAGCUCUGGGUGCAGAGCCAGAGCUCCUGGGGACAGGCACCAAGAAAAGGCCUCCUGCCCUGAAGGGAGUCAAGAGGUUGACUUUGGCAAGGACCAGAUGGAUCUCAGCAGGUGUUCUUUCACCACAUUUUUGCCUCAGAGGAGCAUUUGAUUUUAAAUUUUAUACAGAUUUUCCCUUUCUUGCAUUAUCUAAAACAUAUUGUAAUACAAAGAGAUGACCUUUAGUCUGGACACUUUUAUGUAUUCAUUUUUGAGGCCUCCUGGAGAAAUUCAAGGCUGUUCCACUGGUUUAACAAAGCUUAAACCAUGCAUCUGGCUUCAGCUGUACAGUAGGUCCUACUUGUUGCUGUCUUUCUGUGGUUGAAGAAAUGCAUCAUCUCAUCCACACAAGUUUCCACUCUAAACCUUUCUGCUCCUAGGCGGACAGUGGAGGUUUUUGUACUUCUGCUUUGUGAGCCAGAGAAACUGGAGGGAGAAAAGCCACAUUAAGCGGUUUCUGAACCGGGUCUUCAAAGAAACAAUAAACUGUAUCACUGCUGAACCUCUCUUUCUGUU